AUUGAACGCUGGCGGCAUGCCUUACACAUGCAAGUCGAACGGCAGCACGGGAGCAACCCUGGUGGCGAGUGGCGAACGGGUGAGUAAUAUAUCGGAACGUGCCCAGUCGUGGGGGAUAACGUAGCGAAAGCUACGCUAAUACCGCAUACGAUCUAUGGAUGAAAGCGGGGGAUCGCAAGACCUCGCGCGAUUGGAGCGGCCGAUAUCAGAUUAGGUAGUUGGUGAGGUAAAGGCUCACCAAGCCGACGAUCUGAAGCUGGUCUGAGAGGACGAGCCGCCACACUGGGACUGAGACACGGCCCAGACUCCUACGGGAGGCAGCAGUGGGGAAUUUUGGACAAUGGGCGCAAGCCUGAUCCAGCAAGGCCGCGUGCAGGAUGAAGGCCUUCGGGUUGUAAACUGCUUUUGUACGGAGCGAAAAGGCUUCCACUAAUACUGGGGGCUCAUGACGGUACCGUAAGAAUAAGCACCGGCUAACUACGUGCCAGCCGCCGCGGUAACAC
rnacentral:rRNA from 1 species